CUUACUGCCAUCCAUGGGAGAAAAUGUUAGAGGAAGAGUAAGGGAUUCAGCCAUGGGCAGAAGUCUAGGAGACAUUAGGGAAAGAUUCAGCUGAGCACAGAGAGCCAUACAAUGCAACUAUCUCUGGGACUUAUGUUCGGAAGAAGCCAGACUACCUUAGAGGGUUAAGAAUAGAUCCCAUUCUCCAAACUAGGCUGCUUUGUCUGGCCUCAAUAGGAGAGGAUGUGUCUAGUCCUGCAGGGACUUAAUGUGGGUUGGUACAAAUCGGAGACCUGCCACUUCUCUGAAGAAAUAGAGAGCUGUGUCUUUCCCCAAUGAGCCUCAAGAAACUGGGAUUUAUGAAACUGAAAAGCUCCUGUAAAGCAAAGGACACUGUCGUCAGAACAAAAUGACAACCUACAGACUGGGAAAGGAUCUUCACCAACCCUAUGUCUGACAGAGGGCUGAUAUCCAGAAUAUAUAAAGAACUAAAGAUGUUAAAAGGCAAAAAAAUCAAGCAAUCCAAUUAAAAAUGGGGUACAGAGCUAAACAGAAUUCUCUGUAGAGGAAUAUAGAAUGGCAGAGAAACACCUAAAGAGAUGCUCAACAUCCUUAGCCAUUAGAGAGAUGCAAAUCAAAACGACCCUGAGAUUACACCUUACACCCAUCAGAAUGGCUAAGAUCAAAAACUCAAGUGACAACACAUGCUGGAGAGGUUGUGGAGAAAGAGGGACUCUCCUCCAUUGCUGGUGGGAAUGUAAACUUAUACAACCACUGUGUAAAUCAAUCUGGCACUUUCUCAGACAAUUAGGAAUAGUGCUACCUCAAGAUCCAGCUAUACCACUCCUAGGCAUAUAUCAAAAGAAGUUCAAGUACACGACAAGGAUGUUUGCUCAACCAUGUUCAUAUCAGCUUUAUUCAUAAUAGCCAGAACCUAGAAACAACCCAGAUGCCCAUCAACAGAGGAAUGGAUACAGAAAUUGUGGUACAACUACACAAUGGAAUAUUACUCAGCAAUUAAAAACAAGGAAAAUCAUGAAUUUUGCAGGCAAAUGGUAGGAUCUAGAAAAGAUCAUCCUGAGUGAGGUAUCCCAGGAGCAGAAAGAUACACACAGUAUAUACUCACUUAUAUAGACCUAUAAGAUAAGAUGAACAUAAUAACAUAUGUGCACCUAAAGAAGAUAAACAAGAAAGAGGACCCCGGAUAAGACAAUCAAUCCUCACUUAGAAAGACAAAUAGGAUGGACAUGGGAAGUAGGAGAAAACAAGUAACAGCACAGGAGCCUACCACAGAGGGCCUCUGAAAGUCUCUACCUAGCAGUGUAUCAAAGCAGAUGCUGAGACUCAUAACCAAACCUUCGCCAGAGUGCAGGGAAUCAUAUGAAAGAAGGGGGAGUUAGUAUGACCUAGAGAGGACAGGAGCUCCACAAGGACCAAAUAUAUCAGGGCACAUGGUCUUCUAUGAGACUUUCUCCAACCAAGGACCAUGUAUGGAUAUAACCUAGAACCCCGGAUGUAGCCCAUGGUAGCUCAGUAUCCAAGUGGGUACUCUAGUAAGGGGAACAGGAUUAUUUCUGACAUGAUCUCAAUGACUGGCUCUUUGACAUCCCCACCACCCACCCUGAGGGAGGAGCAGGCUUGCGAGGCCACAGAUAAGGAUAUUGCAGCCAGUCCUGAAGAUACUUGAUAGGCUAGGGUCAGAUGGAAGGGGAAGAGGACCUCCCCUAUCAGUAGACUUGGAAGGGGGCAGGGAGGAGAUGAGGGAGGGUGGAAUUGAAGGGAAAGAGGGAGGGGUCUAUGGUACAAAGUGAAUGACCUGUGAUUAAAAUAAAAAAUAAAAUAAAAAGAUCCUUUCUAUUGACUACUGACUUUCCCUCAUAGAGAGAGUGAGAGGGGUCUAGACUUUGCCUUAAGAUUCCAGCCACUUCUUCUGGCAACUUCCAACAGACUUUAAUGGAUCCUGUUCAUAACUGCACAUAACUGAGCCUGGGGUCUCGGGAAUUAGCUCAGACUGUGGAGAGAAAUGUGCAGCUACAAGAGAAAUCAUCACUUACCCUGAGAUAAGUCUUAGUGAUGUGCCUCCUACAACUUUGAAGUAAGCCCAAUAAAAUCAUAGGUUCCCCCCUAAAAUAAUUUUACUUAAUCACAAAGCAAUUUCUAGCUAUUAUGAGGUCAAAUAAUAUUGAAAUUCAUCUUCUUUCACAUCAACCCUUCUAGAAUGUAUUUUUUUCUUUUAUAUUUAAACUUUUUUUUUUUACAUUGCAUGUAUCUAUACGUUAGAGUGGUACUAUGAAUUCUGUGUCUAAUGUAAAAACAAUGAAUUUAAUUGGGCAUAUCUGUCCAUUCAAGUGGUCACCAUCAGUGUUGUCACAACAUUUAAAGGGUACUCUUUGCACACUUUGAAACAUCUAAGACAGGAUUGUGAUCAGAGGAUUGCUCUACAGAGAUCAUCUACCAAAACUUAAGCUUUUCUUUCACUGAAAUUAUAUAACUUUUCAUCAACUUAUCUCAAUCCCUCCCACCCUUCUUUCUGUUUUCAUGAAUUCAGUUCUUUAAGAUUCCACCAAUAAGCAAGAUUUUAUGGUUUUGGUAUUUUUGUGUUUGGUUUGUUUUAGUUAGUUCAUUGUACUUCUAGGAUCAUCCAUGAAACCAAAAAUGUCAGAGACCCAGACUCUUAAUAAUUAGGUAAUAUCCCAUUGUGUAGUGUAUAUUCAGAUAUAUAUUUUAUACCUUGUUCGUCUUUUAAUCAUUUCUCUAUCUUUUCGUUUCUUCUCCAUUUUAAUCUCCAAAUGGGAAAAUAACUCAUACAUUAUUCUACAAUUUAAAAGUUACAUUACCGCAUUUUAUGUGUAAACACUUAUA